rnacentral:rRNA from 1 species
CAGCCGCCACGGUAAUACGGAGGGUGCAAGCGUUAAUCGGAAUUACUGGGCGUAAAGCGCACGCAGGCGGUCUGACAAGUCAGAUGUGAAAUCCCCGGGCUUAACCUGGGAACUGCAUUUGAAACUGUCAGGCUGGAGUCUUGUAGAGGGGGGUGGAAUUCCAGGUGUAGCGGUGAAAUGCGUAGAGAUCUGGAGGAAUACCGGUGGCGAAGGCGGCCCCCUGGACAAAGACUGACGCUCAGGUGCGAAAGCGUGGGGAGCAAACAGGAUUAGAUACCCGCGUAGUCCCUGUCUCUUAUAC